AGGUUUUAGACUCCACAAACAGAGUUAAGGAAUUGACAAGUGUCAAAAUAUUUAAAUAUAUAUAUUUUAAAAAAAAACACAUGUCAAUUUUUUAAGGUUGUUUGUGGAAUAAGAAAAUC
rnacentral:pre_miRNA from 1 species